rnacentral:rRNA from 1 species
GACGAACGCUGGCGGCGUGCCUAAUACAUGCAAGUAGAACGCUGAAGGAGGAGCUUGCUUCUCUGGAUGAGUUGCGAACGGGUGAGUAACGCGUAGGUAACCUGCCUGGUAGCGGGGGAUAACUAUUGGAAACGAUAGCUAAUACCGCAUAAGAGUGGAUGUUGCAUGACAUUUGCUUAAAAGGUGCACUUGCAUCACUACCAGAUGGACCUGCGUUGUAUUAGCUAGUUGGUGGGGUAAGGGCUCACCAAGGCGACGAUACAUAGCCGACCUGAGAGGGUGAUCGGCCACACUGGGACUGAGACACAGCCCAGACUCCUACGGGAGGCAGCAGUAGGGAAUCUUCGGCAAUGGACGGAAGUCUGACCGAGCAACGCCGCGUGAGUGAAGAAGGUUUUCGGAUCGUAAAGCUCUGUUGUAAGAGAAGAACGAGUGUGAGAGUGGAAAGUUCACACUGUGACGGUAUCUUACCAGAAAGGGACGGCUAACUACGUGCCAGCAGCCGCGGUAAUACGUAGGUCCCGAGCGUUGUCCGGAUUUAUUGGGCGUAAAGCGAGCGCAGGCGGUUAGAUAAGUCUGAAGUUAAAGGCUGUGGCUUAACCAUAGUAGGCUUUGGAAACUGUUUAACUUGAGUGCAAGAGGGGAGAGUGGAAUUCCAUGUGUAGCGGUGAAAUGCGUAGAUAUAUGGAGGAACACCGGUGGCGAAAGCGGCUCUCUGGCUUGUAACUGACGCUGAGGCUCGAAAGCGUGGGGAGCAAACAGGAUUAGAUACCCUGGUAGUCCACGCUGUAAACGAUGAGUGCUAGGUGUUAGACCCUUUCCGGGGUUUAGUGCCGUAGCUAACGCAUUAAGCACUCCGCCUGGGGAGUACGACCGCAAGGUUGAAACUCAAAGGAAUUGACGGGGGCCCGCACAAGCGGUGGAGCAUGUGGUUUAAUUCGAAGCAACGCGAAGAACCUUACCAGGUCUUGACAUCCCUCUGACCGCUCUAGAGAUAGAGUUUUCCUUCGGGACAGAGGUGACAGGUGGUGCAUGGUUGUCGUCAGCUCGUGUCGUGAGAUGUUGGGUUAAGUCCCGCAACGAGCGCAACCCCUAUUGUUAGUUGCCAUCAUUUAGUUGGGCACUCUAGCGAGACUGCCGGUAAUAAACCGGAGGAAGGUGGGGAUGACGUCAAAUCAUCAUGCCCCUUAUGACCUGGGCUACACACGUGCUACAAUGGCUGGUACAACGAGUCGCAAGCCGGUGACGGCAAGCUAAUCUCUUAAAGCCAGUCUCAGUUCGGAUUGUAGGCUGCAACUCGCCUACAUGAAGUCGGAAUCGCUAGUAAUCGCGGAUCAGCACGCCGCGGUGAAUACGUUCCCGGGCCU